rnacentral:lncRNA from 1 species
GACAGUGAGCACGCUUUGGUGUGGUCUUCACUGCGUUUGGUUUUGUUUCUGAUCUUGUGUUCUAAGGUACUCAGUGAAUCCUGGAUUCUGAGUAAGUUCCAGUGUUCUGGCCUUGCAGCCUUGGACAAUACACAUUUCAAACAAAACCAAAUGCUCUUGUCGACAAGCCAGCACAGGCAAAGCGACAGCUCACACAGCACCCCCAGUAGAAUGGGAUCUUGAAUGUGGCUCUGCAAGUUAAACAUCUCUGUGUGUCGUGUAUGCUAGGUGAUACCCUUAGAAGGGACUGACUACUAGACUGUAAGUGUGCUUUAUAAAAGUGUGUAAGACUAAAACUCACGUGCACGAAUCGAAGCGUAAAGAGACGAUACCUAUGAACGUGUGUGAACGUUAACACUGUAGUUGCUAGAUCUUCAGCUGCUAAUUGUUGAGAGAGAAUUCAGUUCUGUUCUGUCUGGCUGCUGUGGCUUCUCAGCAGCACCUUUGCUGUACAUAAAAUGAAAAUAAAGACCUCAGCUAGAAACCUGCCAA